UUUUUUUUUUUUUUUUUUGUAUUUUUCUGUGCAAAAGACUUUUGGGGAGAGAGGGGAAAUGAAACGUUUCUUGUUGAGCAGAGGGAUAGAGAGAGAGAGAGAGAGAGAUUUGUGAUUUCCAAUUUGGUAUUCGGAAUUUUCCAAUUUUUUUAGUAAAUACAUUCCUAUUCUCAUCCUGGUCUGCUGGCUGGUUCACAUUUCACAAUUGAGGACUGCCACGUGCCGCACGUGCCUUGGAGAUAAAGCGGAAUUUGCGUAAUUGGGAUAUUCCGGGUCGGGGCUGCUCUUAUUGAAGUUAAAAGGUCGUAGAAGAUUUUUGUUUGAAAAAAUGAACCCUUUUAGAUAUUGCAUUUUCAUUCUUGGAGCUAAGAAAUCAAAAUUUGUGCAUGACAUUCUGCCCCUUACUCGCUUGGUAAAAGGUCCAAAUUCGAAUAAUGUUUGUCAAGUAGUAUAAAAAGAUAUCACCAAAAUGGAAAAAGAGUAAUUAUUCACAAAGGAAAAGUUUUAAGUCAAAGUUGGAAAGGCUUUGGGCGUUCAAAAAAAAAAAAAAACACAAAAUAAACGAGCAUGGUAUUUGAUGGCUAAAUGUAAAUGAGAACGCUUUGCACUUUUGUAAUUUUCCUUUUCACCUGCAAGAUUUAUCCUAAAGACAUAUGCGCGUCAUACAAUUUUGCCUAGUUCAUGCUGCUUAAUUUUUACAUAUCAAGGAUGGUAUAUGUAAUUUCUAGUAUCAACAACUACACCAUAAUAUAUUAUAGUACAUCGAUCGACAGAAUAGAUAAUUUUGUGAAUAUGGACACAAAAGUGUGUUUGUAUUGUAAAUUAUUUGAAAUAAUUUUAUGAAAAAUAUUACUGUAACUUUUUUUGAUAUAAUAUACGUGAAAUCAAAAAAAUAAUUAAAAAAUAUAUUAAUGAUGUAAGUAAGUCAACACGUGUCAAUAAUAUAUAAUAAUUUACAAUCCAAAUACACUAAUUAAGGUGUGAACAGAACAACAAAUUUUAUCACAUAGACAGUAUUAAAAAUUCUUUAAGAAUCAAUAAUAGUAAUAUUAUCAAAGCCAAAUUCGCGUAAACUCUCUACCCUUAACUAGACCAUCAUCAAUUCCAUUGCAAGGUGUAAUUAAUUGUUAGGGUAGCUGUGUAUUCCUAGGCCCCAAUGCCGGGGGUGGGGGGACCACAAGUGGCUGAAUUGGCAGAGCAAUGAUCAGUAAGAGCAAAAGAGGAGACAGCUAAGCGAAGGAGUUGAAGGGGUUGAAGUUGAGGCACGGUCCAAAGAAGUGUCAAAAUCAAAAGAAGUAAGGGACUGAGGUGUGGGGCUUUUUGCUGAAAGGACCUUCCUCUUCCCCCCAGCCCCCCCCCAGCCCCCCCACCCCUCUUUUUUUUCCUCCUUUUUCUUUUGAUGGUAAACUUAAAAGAUGGGAAGAGAAGGUCCAUUCCAAGCAGGUGGAGCCUUCUUCCCUGAAAAGGAGAGGAGCUUAUCCUCGUUACUGUCUUCAAGUCAUUGUCUCCACAACUUUGUCACGUGGCCUAACACGUGUUUAUUUCUUCCUUGUAAGCUAAAUCGCGAAAAACAACAUUAAAAAAUUCACACGAAGAGCUCUGUUUUGUUUCUCGUACUGCUGCCACAAGUACUAAGAAUUGGAGAGAUUCUAUUCUAUAAAUAAUAGACUAGUAGUAGUAUCAGCUAUCCUCCAGGGCUCUCAGGAAUUAAUAGAAAAGCAUUACUAUUAAGAUUUUCAGUAAAUUUAUCAGUAUCAUUUUUAAAAGAAUUAGUUUUAAAUAAUGGAUAUUAAAAAAUUCAUCAAAAUAAAGCAGACAGUCAUUUAAAAAUAAUUCAUAAUCAUAGAUUAUAUCAGGUAAUAGUUGCUAAUAAUAAUUAAAAAAAAAAACAUAAAGUGACAACAAUUUAUUUAUUUACACCAAAAACUCUCUCCCCUUUUUAUUUUUAUUUUUUAUAUAGUAAGUAUUGAUAUUUUUAGUGCCUGCCGCAAGUGGCAGAGCAUCACGUUAGGAGACAAUUGAGGUACUUAUAUAGUAAGUACAGAUAUUUUGGUGACAGAGCAUUAAGUUAGGAGACCAUUGAAGUACUUAUUAUGGAGCUUAAUCGGAAUAAUAUCUAAAUUAAUUGAGUACUUAUUAUGGAGCUUAAUCGGAAUAAUAUCUAAAUUAAUUGAGUACUUAUUAUGGAGCUUAAUCGGAAUAAUAUCUAAAUUAAUUGAGUACUUAUUAUGGAGCUUAAUCGGAAUAAUAUCUAAAUAAACCGAAAUCUCAUCUAAAUUAAAUUAAAAGAACCAAACAUCAUCGACUAAACCAAAUAUUAUCUGACUAAAAUUAAAUAAACCAAAUCUCACGCACAUGCUCGUGUUCUUAUUGAUUGCUUAUUAGUUGUGCUCAGAGAACUUAAUUUGGUCAUAAAUGCUCUGGGAACAAGAAGUUUUGAAAGUUCAAAACUCCUUGAUGGGCUUCAAUUGGAUAAACCAAUAGCCUGGCCUGUGUCCUCCUCAAUUCUUUUAUGGUCCAUUAUUUUUGUAAUUAAUUCUCAUUGAAUACAUCUCCUUGCAAACUUUGCCAAGUCCCUCAUAUUGUAAAUUAUCAUUAAAAAAAAAAAAAGUAUAAAAUCCAAAGAGCGUGCAAUAGUACAUCCCUUUGCGUGGAGGUGAGAUCCUUUGCCACGCCACUUACCUCAUACAAAAACCAAAAAGAACGUAACGCUGCUGUGCACGAUUGUGGCCUUGAAUCCCUACGGAUGAGACUGCCCCUCAAUAUCGGCCCAAUACUCUAUACUGAUGCCUACGGAUGCUACUCGCCCCUAGUAUCGGCCCAAUACUCCAUACUGUCUACGAGCUUUACAUCAAGCACCUUGGUCGGGUCCUCGUUUCAUCUCGUGAAGCCCGUCUGGUUCUUUGUUUCUUGAAAUUUGUCAUAUUACCAACAUUCACUUAAUUAUUUCUUAGUUGUCACCUGUCUCUCUUUAAAAUUCACGUCGUAUGACAUAUGUAUAUUUUUCAGUAACGUAUAACUAAUCAGCUACAUGCAUCAUAGGAGAAAACAAAAGAAGUGGUGAACCCCAUCAGAGGGGAAAGUAAAAACCACCUUGUAAUUUCAUUUCCCAAAAAGCAGUUCAGAGGCCUAGACUUUUUUUUUUAGCAGCAGCUUAGAAAUUGAGUAGUAGUGGGUAGAAAAAUGAAAAACAAUCUUAAAGCUGCUAGAUGAUGACUUGAUUUCUGAAACUAUAGUGAUAUAUUAAGUGGAAAACGGAAUCUCUUGAGCUUGUAAGUCCGUUGAAGCGACAUACUUAUCCCGCUGCACAGCAAAAAGAAUUCACAAAAGCCAUGUGCAGUUAGAGACGCAGAUCGUUCCUGAGCAAACGAAGAAGAGAUGUGCUGCCCUUUGAUUUAUUCCUCGUGUCCAGAGGCACUUUUUUCUCUCCCCUAGCUCCCUGCACAAUAAUAGUCAUUUGAACCUGGUAAAGUUCUCUCUCUCUCGGAUUAUCGCAUAAAGCUUCUAUACUUCACUUGUAUCCUGCCUUCAAGGAGAAAGAUUACAUCCUACUCCCAUAAACAUAGCUUAGACACCAUUCUCAUCAAGGUUAUUCCCUUCCCAGUUUCUGAAAAAAUAAAGGGUUAAUCACAAUUAAUCUCCUUAAGAUAUACCCCAUUUCUCACUUUAUCCCCUAACAUUUAAUUUUGCUCACUUAACUCCCUAUAGGACAAAACUAUCCUUUUAUUAUUUUGACUUUUCAUUUAUCUUUUUUCCUCUCUUUUAUUUCUUUUUCUCUUUCUUCUUUCUUCUCUCUUUCAUCCUUCUCAAUAGAAAACUCCAUCUCAACAAAAAUUUUUAUCUUGAAUUUGUAAUUAUAUUUUUGGGUGAAAAUUUAAAAGGCAUCAAAAAUUAAUUUUAAUUUUUGUAUAAUGUCACGUGUCACAAUUUUCAAUUGAUGAUUAUUAAUCAGGUCACAAUAUCAUUUUAUAAUAUUUUCUUGAGAAUAAAAUGAGAAAUUAGAAAGAAAAGAGAAAAAACCAAAAUUAAAAGAAUUGAAAGGCCAAAAAAAUUGUAUUUUAAGAAAGUGAUUUGAAUAUUUUGUAAUCAUUUAAGAAGAACAUAGGUCCCUGUAAUUCCUCUUUUUAAAUUUCAAUCAUUAAGAUGAAAAUUUUUUGUAGAAAAGAGAAAGAUUUAAAGAAAGAAGAAAGAGGCAAACAAAAUAAAGAAGCACAAAAGGGGAAAGGAAAAAAAAUAAAAAAGAAAAAUAAGAGUUUAGAAUAAUAAAGGGAUAAUUUUAUCCAAUAGGGGAUAAAGUGAGACAAAAAAAGAUUAAUGGGUAAAGUGAAAAAUGAGGUAUACUUUAACGGAAUUAAUUGUGAUUAACCCAAAAAUAAAACCAGACUUUUUUCCAAUAGAGGCUGAGUGUGGAAAAACAAAUAUUUCUAUAUGUUCAUAUGCAGAAUCAUAAAUCAAGGAACUCUCUUUAAUAUGGGGGACAGCGCUUAUGUUGUACGUUUUCUCAGUAACUUGGCAUUUUAACUUGUUAUCCUGUAUAUUUUCUCCCGAGUGCUGUCGUAUCAGAAUCAGGUUAUAGCAACAAACAUCGUCAGCUUGUAUCAAGUAAAAUCUGGCAUUACCUUUGGCUUGUCAAUGUCGUCCUCUACUGCAACACUACCAAUAUCCUUCAAUAAAGUGGACGAGGCUGGUAGAAGUCUCCUGAAAGUACACAAUGCAAGAGAAAGGAAGCAAAUGAAUCAUUUAAACUAAAGCUACUAAUGCAAAAAAAAAAAACAAUUCAACAAGUGAUAGCAAAUAAAACAUUGUUACAAGGAUCUACACCAAUAGACCUUUUCGGCUUCUCUGUUUUUCUGGAACUGGAAAUAUCAAGUGAACAAGUGUCCAGAGCAGUGCAGUCCCGAGUGUCUUCCACCAAAGAUGCAUUUUCCCUAGGCAUUACAGUUGCUGAUGGAUGCAGCUCUUUCUACAGCAGACAUGAAAAUUAUUUACCUUUAGUUGCUGAUUUGCACAUUUCCUGUAAGUAACUCUUAAAGAGUUCAAAACACAAGCUUAAUCUAAAAGGCAAAGAUGCAAAUGUUUCUUUCACCAAAUUAUACUGAUCUUCAUUAUUGUUUUUUUUUGAAAUCUACAACAGUACUUUUAUAUAGAAUUUAUAUGUAUCUAUCAGCAGUAUUGAUUAUUGCCAGUAAAACAAUUUCUUCCAAUGCACAAAUGUAAUUCAGAGAUCUUAACCCACAUGAACAGUAACAAAAUAUCGCAUCUGUUUUAAGAAUGUACAAGAAGUUUAUAUAGAGUUACAAAAUGUUUAAAAAAUGUUACACUGUUCAGGGACGGUUGAUACCCUGCCCCGCUCCUGAUCCAUUCACAUAUUGGCAAGCAGAGGGAAAGAAAUGUCUGCUACAGGUCAGAGGUCCAAGAGUAAUAAUAUCUAAACUGUAGUUCACUCAUAAUUUUCUAAAUAAUAUUUAGAGUGAUUCAGCAUCCAACUGCAGCAAAGGGCCAGUUGAGCAGAUACAUAGAUGCACAAUUUUAAUUUAGUGAUAUCACUGAAUACUAAAAAGAAAAAGAACCCAAAAACAAAGAAAAAGUCACCUCCUCGUGUGGCAAUGGGUCCAUCUCAACUGCAGAAGAGUUGUCACAACUUGUUAUUACAGGUGAAGCAGAAAUUGCAGGUUCCUCCACUGAGCAAACACAAGUUUCUUUGUUUUUCACACACAACUGCAAACAGCUACUACCAUAUUCUGAAUCAUCUGCAAGAGAAUCUCCCAAUUAAUAACUGGAGCUACUAAACAAUGACUAUCAGUGCCAGGUGAUAAUCUUGAACUUAAAAUGCCAAGGAAGCACCAAAAGGAGCCCUACCAAAAGGCAAAAGGCUAAUAUCAGAAAAUUUCAACGUAGGUAAGUAAUUUCAUAUGUUUAACGAUGUGAAAGUUUUACAUGUUGAGUGAUUACAGCAUAACAUGAAUGUGACACUGUCAACAGUUAACUAAAUUUCUAGGAGACUAUUCUGCGUAUGGACUUUGUUAUGAAGUUAAUUUCAUUCACUGUCACAGUGAUAAUGCUUAAGCAGAAAAAAAUAAAUAAAUUUGAAAAAUGGCAGUAGUAUUUUUGUUCCAUAAUUAAAUGUAGAAGCAUAAGGAUGCCAGGGAAGCACAGAUGAUAGUGCUAUAUGUUGUUCAUCAAACCUGUUCCUUCAGUCUCUGUCGUUUUAUCAUCUCUCUGGACAUUAUUCACAUCCAUAAGAGUCCUAAUAUUGUUGACACUAGAAUGAUCUUCCUCAUCAUACUUCAAAUGUUGAAAAUGUUGACCCAGACCAGCAGUUUCAGCAGCUUCUUCACAUCUCUCUUUAACACAAUCCUGCGAAGCAAUGCAAACAGAAGUUGCUUCAUCCUCCGAAUGCAUAUCUACUGCUUCCAGAUCUUUUAAAUCCUGUGAACUUUCAGCAAUACUAAUAUGUGUGCGUGACUUCUCAUCUUUCUGAUCAUUGUGCUACAAGAUGGUUCAAAGGUCAAGUUAUAGGGGAAAGGAAAACAGGAAAACAAAACAGAUGAAAAAGAAAAUCCUGAUCUGCCAGUUUUAAUUGACGUAGUACCUGAUAAUUCUGUUCUUGAGAAGAAUCAAUUCCAGUACAUAAACCAACCAAACAGGAGCUACUGACCUGGUUAUUAAACCACAUUAUAUUAGGAGAUUGAGCAUUAAAAAAUCAGGGCAAAAGAAAGAAGUUUUCUUAUCUUCAGUACCCCAGCUGAAGGUACUUCAGGAAAAGAAGAUAUCAGUCUCAAAUGUCUAACUUCUUUUUCUAGAUCAGAAGAUCUUCGUUUUUCACAAGUUAAGUUGUCUCUUAGACAGCAGAUUUCGUUUUCAGCCAUCUGCAUGUAUACAAGCUUUGGUUUAGAAAUAUGGAAUAUGUAAAGCAAUACAUCGCACACUAUUCCUGAACUGAUGGACUAUAUCUGAUAAAGUACAUAAACGAGCAUAAAAAAACCCCUAAUACCUCAAGGUUUUGCUUAUAUUGUUUCAGGACAUCCCAUAAAGCUUUAGCAAAAUUCACCAUAAUCUGAUAUUCUCUUUCCCUUUUUGUCAAUUCAAUACGGUCCUGUUUGAUGUAUAUUCCUUCAGUCACUUUGCAACUAACAGGUUCUUCACUCUCAACUAAAACCUCUGUUAAGCUUCCAUUCUCAUCCUUUGUUUCUAAACAUAUUUCACAAGACAAGCACUCCUUAGUGAGGGGAAUGUUAAAAAAGAAAAUUAAAUAAGCUUAGGAGAAAAUAAUGAACCUUCUAUCCGUGGUUGAUCUCCAAAGACUGCUGUUUUACUGAUCUGGAAACAGAAAAAUUCUAGAGUAGUAAACAUAUGCAUGUAAACACAUACUUUGCCGAAAAAGUUUAUGAUGUCAUGUGUAGAACUAUAAACUAGUGACCAAUUGCAUCCGAUUAUGAAAGAGGUAGACUAGAGAUUACAGACAACGGCAAAGGGAUAAACACAAUUGCUCGCGUAGACACAAGCAUGUUAAUCAAUCAGCACAAAUUAGGAUAUCUGAAGGCAUCAUAUAAUACUACCAUGUCCAAUACAAGCAAAAUAAGAAAAGAUCACAAAGAAAGCAGGCCACUGAACACUCUUUCCAUUCAGAAAAGUGUAUGGAUAAGAAUAUGUACCGAAGAAGCUUCCACAGAACUAAACUUCAUUCUCUUGCUAUGUUCUGCCCCAUGCAAAACUUGAGUGGGUCUCUUAGUAGAUUUGUUUUUUGCAGGUUCUUCAAUGCCUAUAAACCUGCAAGGUAAAAAAUUAUGUUCAGAAGCUAAAAACCAAUUAGAAGCAGAAGCCCACCUCGGUAGAAGAAAACUCCUUACUUAAUUUGUGCAUAUGGUGAUGCCUGCUUUAAAAGAUUUGAAGUUUCAAGAUAAUCUUCUGCUCCAGGUUUCAAGGUUAGGACCUAAAAAUUGUCACUCGAGAAAUACAAAUGAGUGGAAUUUUUUAACUUUAUAAUAUGCAAGACCCAGAUAUUCAACAUUUAGCAUGAGACCCAUGAUGUUGGAAAUAAAAGAAUUGCAUACCAAUGCCAUCCGUUUCUUGCCUUCUAAAUAUUCUCUCAAGUAUCUGGUUAACUGUGGCAAGAAAAAUAGCCAGAGUAAAGAUAUGAUUUAAUCAGUAGAGGUAACUUCAAGACUCGGGAAUGUUUCUGAAGAACAGAGCACUUACAAAAACAAGUAAGCAGGGAAAAAGAAGGCAUUACCAAGGAGUUCUGGAAGUGUUUUUGCAAUGGCUUUUUGGGAUUCUUCUGAUGCUCCAAUAAUGACUGAAAAUUGAGGAUUAAAUUUAAAUCAUUGCACAUGGAUACAGACAAAAUAAAGCAACAUCAUGGAACUAGCAACAAAUAAUUCUUCAAUCUCCAGUGAGAGAAACUUUUAAGAAUGUGAGACUUUUCUUUCUUUUCUUUCAAAAUUAUAUGAUAUCUGCUUACAUACCCUUAAGCAAAGCCCAAAAACCAUGGAUGUGUUAUUGAUAAAAUUACUCUCGAGCAUUCUAAGCCCCUGUCAUCAAUACAACCAUGCACAAAGUCAGUAGUAUGAAAACAAUGUUCACCAAAGAUCAUUAAAGUUCAACCUAUGUUACACAGGUGACAACUCAACACAAAUUCAUUCAAGUUGAAGGAUCUCAUCAGGCUGUAAUAGGGCCACAUUCAAAGCUUGAGUGUCAGAUUUCUUUAUCCACCGAUAAGCAAUGAUGUUGAAAAUGUAAGUCCAUGCCUCUAUAACCAAGAUACGAUGAUAGGUUAAUGUUUCCUUCUGAAACUGUAAACUGAAUAUUUACAAACUAUUUAAGAUGAAUCUUGCAAGUCAAUCUGUAAUAUUCAUGAUAGCAAAGCUUUGAAGCCCUCUUGCUAUAUUAAAGCUUCAACAAUCUCAAGGGAAGCUGAUUACAAUUAAAAAUUUAGUUGGCAGAUACAUACAAAAUAAAUUUGUAAUAAGAAUUCGAGACCCAAAUUCCAGACAAAUAAAAUGUUUUACAGUCUCCAGGGAAGCAGAUUACAGUUAAAAGUUUAGUUGACAGACGCAUACACAACGAAUUUGUAAUAAGCUUUUGAGAACCAAAUUCCAGACAAGUAAAACAUUUUUAUAACUUUUUGAAAUAUUUUUUAUAAUGAAUUAAUUAGUCUCCUUGUACUGAUGCCCACUGAAAUAAGAAGUCCUGUCAUCCAAUGCAAUUGACUGAUCUGCAAAUUAUGUAAUGGUUUUGACUACCUGGUUUCCUGUCUUCUUUUCUCUUUCAGCUCCAGCAAGGUCAACAAUUGUCAAGGAAGUGCUUUUUGGUUCAUCAUCAAACUCCCCAUCAUUACUAUUAGGGGUGCAGCAAAUGUUGAUAAUGCAUUGUGAACGACUGGACAAAUGUACUGUUUUAGUUUAAGAUGAGGUUCAAACUAAACAAAGUAACCAAUACUACAAUGCCAUAAGAGCAACAGUGAACAUGGGUAGGAAAAAACAAAAGACAAGCAUACAGGUAACCUGAAAAUGCCUUUAAACAAAUGAAAAAACAAAAGACAAGCAUACACGUAACCUGAAAAUGCCUUUAGUUGACAGACAACACAAAAUUCUACUUUUAUCAGCUAUAAAAACAUUACAGUAGAUCAAAUACAAACCUUGAUUGACUAUUUGAAUUAGUUGCUGCCGUAGCACGUCUUAGCAAUCCAUGUGCAAUUAAAGAUUCAGCUUGUUCAGCAUGUCUGAUAGUGACCUGUUCCAAAAACAGGAUAAUAACCAAAUCACUAUGUCUGAAAUGUUGGUAACAUUCUGACAGGCUAAUCUAAAAACCAGUGACUGCAGCAGCACAGAUGAAAAGGGAGAUCAGAAAGCAUACCUCGUUGAGGCCCUUGAUUGCUGAUUGUUGUAUGGAAAUCUCACCCUCUUCUUGCAGUAAAUCAAAUAUCCGUUCUGAUUUUCCUUUCUCGGAACAGAUUUCAAACAUCGACAAAUAGAAGGUCCUGCAUAAUUUGAUAGUGAAUAAAGGAGACAAAAAUCUUUCAUAUUUCUUGCACACUAAUAUUCAUUAUCAUUCAUGUUGCAAGAACAUGCACAACAAUCCAUCUACUCCAACUAAAACAUUAUUGAAAUUUUAAUAAAGGGUACGCUGAUUUGGAUAAAGAAAUGUGUAAAAGUACCGGCACCGCGAAACCUGAUUCCCAUUGCUUUUGUCCUCUGAGAAUAUGCGACGCAGGGCUAGAGGUACCAUACCAGGCUCUCUAAUACACCCAAAAACUGUAUGCGUCUUUCCCGAGCCAGUUGGACCUAAUGCGGCCAACAUUCCACUCUUUCCCCUCAAAAAAUCCUCAACCAAUGGAUGCACUAACUUCUGAUACACUUCAGCCUGCAAAACCGAAGAAAACCCGUCCAAAUAGUCAACAGUUUUCUCAAGCAUUACAACCACUCGAUCAGAACGAACCUUAUAGCUGAUAAAGAAAGAUAGAAGUAACCUGAGAUGAUUCAUUAGAGAAAACGUGAGAGAAUCCUUCAUAGACCACAGACUUGAUGCGCUUACUUUCCUGCAAACUACUAGGAGGUGAAAUUGUAACAGAGUGCGGAUCAUUGACCGUCACGCAAAUCUCAUUGCUGUUUUUCACUUUAUUUUUUGGCAAGUGUUUGGCUUUAGGAUUUUUUGGCCAAGCAUUUUUUACAACCUCGCCUCCCCUUUUGUUCUGUUUUUGGGCAUUUUGGGAAACAGUAAGGGGACGAAUUCUUAGAAAUACUUUCAAAUUCUCCGACUCAGGCUUUCUCUUAGGGUUUUGAGAUGAAGAAAACGAGUCGAUUUCACGAGGUCUUUGAGUUUCAGACAGCUCAACAGAAAGAAUGUCUUGAGUGGGAAAUGAAGGGAUGUCGGGGGGAAUUGGUGGCGAGGAUAGAGGUAAUGGAAGGGGAACUGUGGAAGACGGCGUCGGCCUGGCCUUCCGGUGAGGAUUCCGGCGGACCGUAACGGUCUUCGGACACGGAAAAGGACUCUCCAUCUCCGCCAAAUGUUUGAUUUGAAAAAAGUGAAAAUUAGCGGCAAGAAAUCGGGGGUGGGAAACCAGGACGGCAAUUUGAACGACAGAACCGGGUGGGAGAUGGGGCAGGUUUCGGUUCUACCCGGUGAUAUUUUGUGGAAGCCCAGGGCUUUUGAACUGACCCAAAAUUAGAUGUUCCGCCGACGAAAAUGGGCUAUAGAAGUUGCUACAGCACUUCCUUUUCAUUUUUUUCUUUUUUUUUCCCUUUUGUGCUUUUGAGGAAAUACUCACAAAAGUGCGUUUUGUUUUAAAGAAGUGAAAAAAAAUAAGGAAAUUCCAUGAACAACGAAUUUAUUCACAUUAUUGCUUAAAAUUCAAUAACUAUUAAUUCAAUAAUACAUAAAAUUUAUGAAAAAUGAACUAAAAUGAUAAGGAAACAAAAAUGAACUAAAAAAUGAUAUUUAUGAAGGAAAAAUAAUAAUAUAAUAAAAAAUGAGACAGAGAAUGGCACGGACAAAAAAUCCGUUGCACUUUUUUCCCCCUCAACUGAAAAAAGAAAACAUGCGAGGAAGAGUUCCUUGGAUUGUCAUCCUUUUUUUUCUCAAUUCAAGAAAUGAAAACCUAAAAAGUUCCAAAGAAAAUAAUGAGAAAAAGAGAGUAACACGCUUCACACAAGUACACGAUUGAGCUAGUUGGAGCAUCGACAAUUUAACACUACGAAUAGGCAACGGCCAAUCCCAUGUACAAUCAGAAGAAGACCUAAAAUUGGAGAGCAAGCAACGGAGGAACUGAACUCCUCAAAUGUUUGACAGCCACCCAGAAAACCAGAAGGUAACAAAUUAUUUAACAUUUGAUAGUACAACAUUUGAAUUCCUUCAAGUCAAGUUUUUAUUUCCGAAGAACAGUAAUAAAUCCAGAAGCCCUGCUGCGUGCAGCUGCAUUUUAAGACCAACUAAGUACACGAUGCAAACAUAUGAAGAAGUCGUCGUCGUCGCCGUCGUCGUCAAAGCAAGGUAGGAGGAGGGGCAGCAGACUGAGGAGGUCUGUUGGCAAGCAUGUGAACAAUUUCCCUCAUAGUUGGCCUGGCACAGCUCUCAUCCUCAACACACAUCAUUGCAAUCUUGAACAAGUUCAUCACGCUCGUUAAUGGAUACCCUGUAAGCCUGAAGUCCACAAUAGCAAGCACUGCAGCAGCAUCAGACGGCUGGGAUAGUUCUGACAUCGUCUUCCGCACCCACCUAACAAUGUCCACUCCCUCCCCGAACUCCCCUACAGGUCUUCGACCCGUGAUCAGCUCCAGCAGCACCACACCAAAGCUAUACACAUCGCUUUUCUGGUCGAUUUUCAGUGUAUAUGCAUACUCUGUUGUUUUUAAAAUUUUAAAAAAAAAAAAAAAUUUUGACCAUCAAACAACAAAAGAAAAUACCGAAACUUCGAUUAAAAUUUACAGAUAAGGUAGAAAACUACUAACUGCAAAUACAGUACUGUAACUCCUGUUUUAGGAAAUGUUUACUUGCCUGGAGCAAUAUAGCCGUAGGAACCAGCAAUUGAGGACAUGCAUUCAGAGGCACCGCUGUUGUGGAAGAAUUUGGCAAGCCCAAAAUCAGCCACAUGAGCCUCGUAAUCAGAAUCCAGCAGAAUAUUAUUGGACUUGACAUCUCUGUGAAUUAUGGAAGGCGAACAAUCAUGAUGCAAGUAACACAAUCCUUUAGCAGCCUCAACCGCAAUCCUGUACCUUGAUUCCCAUUGCAGAUGAGCCCCCUUUGUCCCAUGCAACACUUCUCCAAGACUCCCAUUAGACAUGUACUCGUACAGCAGCAAGUUAACGUCCUUGUUGCGCACAUAUCCUAAUAGCCUCACAAUGUGCCUGUGCCUGAUUUUGCCCAAAGUCUGAAUUUCAGCUGUGAAGCCAUGGUCACUGCGACUGGUACCGUGCUCGACUAGCCGUUUAAUCGCCACAUCCACGCCGUUAGGCAUGGAGCCUCUGUAUACGAUCCCUGCACCGCCUUUGCCGAUGAUGUUCUCUUCUUUUAGGCAUUCCAAAACGUCAUCUGCUUUGAAGUCCAGCCUCUGGAAUGCAGUCACCUUCCAAGCCAUUGAUUUCUCGUACUUUCUCCUCCUAAUCAUCAUCCAAGUCACGGCAAACAACAGCCCCAAGGUCACAGCAACAAUGGCUGCUAUUACACGCGUCGACGUACGAGUACGGUUGGAGCCGUGUGCAGAGCUUGAAGCGGAAGGACAGAAUUUAACAAGGGGAGGGCAGAGAUUAGGAUUUCCUUCGAACGGGCGGUCGCCCAUGAACUUCAGCAGCCCGUCCAUAGGUCUUGUGCCGGUGAAAUUGUUAAAGGAAAGGUCUAGCAACGUCAGGCUUUUCAUUAACCCAAGUUCGCCAGGGAUUUCACCAGUUAACUGAUUUCUCGACAAAUUGAGCGCAUUUAAGUCCUUCAGCAUGGAAACAUCUCUCGGAAUUCCGCCAUGCAAUUGGUUUUGGCUCAAAUCAAGGCAAGUUAAUUUGGGGUAGUCAGCUAGGGAAGCCGGGAGCUCACCUGAUAGUCCGUUUCCACGCAAAUUCAAAAGAGAGAGUUUCUUGAGUUUAGAAAUUUCCUCCGGAAUUUCACCUGAUAAGUCGUUCAUAUCAAGGCUCAACGUCUGCAGCUCCGCCAAAUUCCCCAGAGCGGGAGGGAUUUUUCCAGUGAUCAAAUUAUUAGAAAGCGUAAGACUUGCCAGUGCAGCGCCCGAAAUUUGCAUGGGAAGUUCUCCCGUGAGGUGGUUGUCGCUGAGCUCAAUCAUGUCCAACAAAGGCAAGUUGAAAAUCCCCGCGGGAAUCGUUCCGUUGAGAUAAUUCUUCUUUGCUCGGAACGUGAUCAAGGACUUGCACUCCCCAAGUUCUUCAGGAAUCGGCCCCAAAAAGAAGUUCUCCAUUAAAACCAACCUCCACAGCUUGCCUCCCUUGCACAGGUCCCUGGGGAUUGUCCCAGUGAGAUGAUUCGACGUGACAUCCAGAAUCAACAGCCUCCCGUUGCUCCCGAGAUUUUUGGGCAAUUCCAGGGUGAAAUUAUUCUGCCAAAGUUGUAACACUUCGAGAUUAGGCAGGUCGCCAAUGAACGAAGGAAUUGGGCCGUGAAAUUGGUUAUGAAAUACAUCCAACAAAGUCAAAUUCUUUAGCAAAGAGAAUUCCGUGGGUAUCUCUCCCGUGAGGUUGUUAAAUGACAAGUCCAACGACAUCAGGCUGGUGCAACCGGAAAGCUCUGGCGGCAAGUGCCCGGUGAGUUUAUUCUGUUGCAAAAACAAAGUGUGCAACAGCUUUAACUUCCCCAGGGAAGGCGGGAUUUCGCCGGUUAAAUUACAGUCGGCAAGGUCGAGAAGGCGGAGGGAGCUCAAUGAGCCAAACUCUGGAGGAAUGCCACCUUCGUAGCUGUUGAAAUAGCCGAGGAGGAGGUUUUGGAGCUUGGGAAGGCGAGCCAAGCUGGAGGGUAUUCUGCCGCUGAGUCCAUUGCCCUGUAAUGCUAAAAUCUCUAAAUUCUGAAAUUGGGAGUAAGCUUCUGGGAUUUCCCCGUAGAAGUAGUUCCCUCCGAGUUUCAGCGUCCUGAGUUUCGGCAGGUUCACGAACGCAGUGGGCAGAAAGCCGGUGAAGUCGUUGUUAUAGCAAUCGAAAGCUUCCAGCUGAGUCAUUUUCAUGACCAGUUGUCCGGGUAAUUCCCCAUUGAAGUUGUUGGCAGAGAUGUUAACAAACCUCAAGGAGGUUAAUUUAGAGAGUUCAGGGGGGAGGGGACCGGUGAGCUUAGUGGAGACGAGAGUGAGGUUGACGAGCUUAUCCAACAGCCCUAUCUCCGGCGGAAGGCUGCCCAAGAGAGGAAGGUUGGUGAUGUUAAGGGAGGUCACCCGUGAAGUACUUUGAUCGCACGUGACUCCAGAGAAUAAGCAAUGGUUGGCGGACGAAGACGAAGACGAUGACCAGUCAUCAAGUCCGGAGCCGCCGGGUCCAAGCAUGGAGGCUCUGAGAUCCAUCAGUGCUUCAUGGUCAGAAAAUGCUUCGACAUGAACUGUCGAAAGUAGAAGGAAAAGGUGAGGAAGAAGAUAGGAGUAUUUGACAGUAGUGAAUUUUGGCAUGUUUCUGUAGAUAUUGCUCCACUAGAAAGAAAGAAGGUUGUACGAAUGGGGAUGCGAAAUUAGCUAUUUUUGAUUCAAAUAAGUAGAAGCAGUAGCAGGGAAUAAUAGACGGUAGUGACUAGAAGCGCUACUGCUGCUGCUUUGCUUGUUCUACUACUACUGCUAGUGAGUGGAGAAUCGAAGGGUCCAAUAUAUACUAUUUUUUUAAUAUAGUAGUGUAUUUCAUCAUUUGUUGAAUAAACUAAGAGAAUUGCAUGCUCAGAGGGUAUUUGGUAAAUGAGUCUCAACCUGCUGUGGAUUUCAAGUUCAAUUAUGUCCACACAUGCAUGUAUGUAUGUUUACCAUUUUUUUUUUCAACCAUACAUGAUGUUUACUUGAGGCCAAAGAGAAUAAAUCAAUGGGAAUCAUAGCCCAUAGGCCUUUUUUAUGAAUUUUCUGAUUAACAACUUCUCACUGGAGAAUUAUCUUAAUUAUCCAUCUUUAGUCUUCUUAAAUGUAAAAAAUAAGAAAACAAAAUGUCAUGUUAGUCUCCUUAAAUGCAAAAAUACGAAAAUGAAAUGCCACCAUUCCUUAACAGAUGGAGAAAAAAGGAAAUAAUGAAAAGGGAAAAUAAUAAUAUGUUGUAAAACCCAUUCCUCAUUAACAAACAUGGUAAACUUAUGUAAAACCCAUUCCUCAUUAACAAACAUGGUAUAUGGGGUUUCAUUAAAAAUUCAUAUUAUUAUUGACCACUCUUUACUUAAAGUGUUUGGAUCGUUGAAUUAUCUCAAAUAAUAUUUCACUUGUAUCAUACAUACAUUCUUUAAUUUAUCUUUUUUAUAUUUACAACUACUUUUUUAUCUUACAUACAUCACAUUACGAAAAAUGUUACAGUAAUUAUUUCAAAUAAUACUCCAUCGAAACACACUAUUGUGAAAUUCGAAUCAAACCACCCUUUACAAUUUUGGUUCAUGGGAUUGAGAGAGAGAGAGAGAGGAGUUUGAUGAGACGAUGCGUGGUUUGCAAGUACAAGUAGUAGUUCUCUUGGCCCCUUCACGGUCUUCCUCCUCCUCCUCCGGCGGUAUAAGAUAGAAUAGUUUGUAGAAUAAUUAUCUUCUUAAAAAAAAAAAGGUACAAGUAGUAGUCCAUUGGCUUCUGGGAUUCUUGCUAAGUUGACACCAGUUUACGGCGUAGCGAUUCAUCAACGUUACUUGUGUUGACGGAGUCUGCCGACCAUGGAGUGUACCUGUUGUAAUUGCACCAGAAUAACUCGUGGACAACACUAAGACAUAACGUAAUUAGGAAGAUGGGAAUAUGGAAUAUUGCAGGUUUAGAGUAGGUGCAGUUGUGAUUUUGACGCAUUCUUACUAUCCAAAUACACUCACUGUGACUUAGUGUAAAUUAACAUUAGGUGAAUUUCGUUUCAUGUACUGGGUUUUUUUUUUUGGUUGGGACUGAAUAAUUAUUUUUCAUUGUUGGGAGGGAUAGGCAUAGUUAGCUUUUGAUAGAAUUUUUAUGAUUGUUAUAUAUAUAUAUAUAUACUUUUUUUAUUUUUAACUUUACCGGACUAAUCAUCCUGCACCUGAACCUGAAGUACCCCGCCUGUCCCUCAAGAAUAUCCAGGCGUUAAGAGAAGUUCGAACCCUGGAUCUUAGAACCUGAUGACUACCUCAAGACCAGGUGCUCUAACCCGAGGGACUAAGUGACAUACAUACGUGAUUUACGAUAAAUACAAAUUACUAAGUGAUAGUCCAUCUUUUUUAUUAAAAGAAUUUUUAUAUUUAUAUUUAUGAUUAAAUGUGUUUUUCAAUCAAUUCGUACGAAUAAUUGUGCCACCAUAGCGAAAUUUCAACCGUAACCGUCCAGACGCCGACAAAGGUUCACUCAGUCGUCAAGGUGCCGGUUGAACCAGUGAUGCAGCCGCCUAUGGAGGUUUCGAUGGUGGACGAUCGGAAUAUCCAGUCGCAGCGGUCGGUUUAGGGUGUGGGUCAAUGGGGAGUUAAUGCGUCGGUAGAGUCGUGUGCUUUUUACGAGGGAACUGAAGUUGGAAGAUGAGAAAAGCCAAAUGGGUAUUUCGGAGCGUAGUUGGGGUGCAAGCAAGGGCCAAUCCAGAUCCAGAUCCAUCAAAGACUGUCUCUGUCUUUACCCGAACAGACACGGACCCUUUACUCUGACUCCAAUUUUUAUUUUGGCUGCGACUGAAAAGUCUACUCUCUUUGUUUCCUAGUUCAGUUCCUACCUCUCGCCUUGGGGCCCAUUCCUCCGUCUUCUUAGUUUCAUAGCCCGAAGGACACCAUUUUCUUACUAAAAGCUUGUACUAUUUCCUUCCCCCAUCAAAUCAAACACUACAUAAAUUUUUCUUUCUCGAUCAGCAACAGCAAUGUAUGCACUCACCUGAUCUAAUAGCCUUGGUUUGCUUGGAUGGACCAUUAUUUGUCAAAAAAAAAAAAAAUCGAAUUAUUAUAAAUAAAUUUUAAUUAUUUUUUAUUUCACAUAUACCAUAUAUAUAUUACAUAUUAUUUGUAAAAAAUUUUCCAUAAUCCUUUAUCCAAACAUUUGCAUACUACUAUUAUGUGAAUAACGAAUCAUGCAUGCUUGAUAUUGUCAUAUUUGGACAUUCAAUCAUAUCUUUCUACUGACUAUUUUAUCUUGCUAAAUCAAUCAUGAAAUGAUUUAGAAUAACAAAAUGUAUACUAAAAAAAUAUCAACUACGAUUAGAGCAGUUGCCCGUCACAUGUUUUUGUGGGAUAAGAGAUCAAGAGUUCAAAUUUGUCUCCCAUCAUGUUGUUACUAAUAUAAGUGUGUUUGGAUUGCCAAUUAAUUCACUUUAUUUACACACACUGAUUUGCUUGAAUCAUCAACACAUUUUUCAAUAAUUUUUUUGUAUCACAUACGUCAUAUCAAAACAGUGCUACAGUACUUUUUCAUAUGGGGUGCGUAAUGUACCCGUAUGGUUCAAUGAUAGUUUAGUUCCUGUCAAUUCUCGUUGAUCCAGUUGGGUCAUUCUUUUAGAAUAAACUAGAAUAAAAGUAGAUGUACGCGGUGAUAAUUGACCAAAAAAAUAUUCAUUGCCCUUAUUCUUGUCAUUUUUUAACUUUUAGAGCUCACGAUACGAAUUACCUAUCAAAGUUGACGGAGCGGGCAUAAAGCGGCUUACCAGUUUUUAAGCCUAAUAAGAAAGAAGAUGGAUUAAUGUUGGACCACUGUCAUUCGGGCGUGGACUGAAAAAAUGUAUAAACAAAGAGAUACUGCGGCAUUUCAACUGUUCGAGUAAAGUGCAUUUUCAACUUUAUGCUACCAUAAUGGAGAGUAGUUAGUGGGUCAGAAUGCUUCUCAAUAGCUAAAGAGAAUUUGGAAGCCGUAGAAAUUGUGAAGAUAAAGGCAGAAUUUAUUCCAUUUUUCUGCAACAUUAGUCCACUAGCUGAGGGGAACAAAUUCAUAUUCUCACAUAAAGCUUACCACCUGUCUUCUUUUUUUUUUUUUUUUUUCCGGCCUGUCAGUGUUUGGAUUUUGCAAUAACAAUUAAUUAGGAUAGAGUAGAGUGAUUUGGAAUAAAGAUUAUGGAAUGCGCUCAAAUUGGAUGACUGAGAUUUUAUAUUUGGGGGUGAUGUCAAAGAAGAAUCGUCUCUCUAUUAAGGAUGACAAAGGGGCCAUUCCCUCUGUCAUUCUCUCCAUCCUCGUCUCAUCCUAUACUUCUGCAGGUGUUUCAUAGCUAUUUAAAUUUUUUUUUAUUGUUUACCUUGACACUAUUUUUUUAUAUAUAACAUUAAUAACAAUGGUGUAAAAAAAAAUUUUAGGCUCUUAACUAAAUAUUCAAGGUAAAUUCAAUAUUAAAAAUCAUUUGAUCUUUUUAAUUAAUUUCUCUACUUUUAAUAGCAAAUAUAAUAGCAAAUUAACUUCUAAUCAUCAUAUUUGUUUAAACGAUUUACAAUAUGUAAAAAAAAAAAAAGUAAAUUAAAAUUAACCAAAAUAUCAUUUUAUCAUAGAAAUUAUGAUUUUUUUAGUUCUGAAAUUAUAACAGAUAUGUACAUAUUAUUGACGUGUAUCUAUAAAGUACAUAAUAAAUUUAAACUUACAAUCAUCAUAUUCAUUUUUAAUUUUUGAUAAAUAACUUACAAUAUGUAAAAAUUCAAGUAAAUUAAAAUAAUCAAAUAAUCAUUUUAUCAUACAAAUUAUGAUAUAUAUAUAUAUAUAUAUUAGUAGUGGAGGCCGGAAGGGAAUAGGGCGGGGCUAUCGUCCCCGGCCCCAUUCCAUUUAAAACAUGAGAAAAAAAAUAAAAAUAAAAAUAAAAAUUCCUCACCAGCCCUGCACUCUCGGCCCGCCCAUGACUUUCCCGCCCUGUUGUCCGCCCCACUCUUCUACACGUCGCUUGUAAAGUCUAGCAUCCACCUGGUAGAACCAUUGCAAGCUUUGAAAUGAUCUUUUGUAAUCGUUUGUUGUGUGCGUGUGUGUGUGUGUUUUUUUUUGUUUUCAAUUUAGAACUGAACAGUUUAUAUACAUUAGCCUUGAAGUACACUUUUUGUAAGGGUUACAAUUGCAAAGGUAUUUGGCAAGUCUUCUCGCUACCUUUUUUUAUUCUGCGUAAUAUACAGUCUUCAUCUUUUUCUCUGCCUCCACCGUUUUUACAUAUGCAUCACAUAGUGAAAAAACAUAUUUCGCUUGCAUCAAAUAUCUCAAAUAAUAUUAUGAUAAAUAAUUCCAAAUAAUUUUUACUUCACACGGAAUGUAAAAAUAUGAGGAAAAAUCGUGAAAAAUAUCCAUCACAUUUCAUGAAAUGAAUUUUUUCAUGUUUCAUUUUUAAAAUAAUAUAUUUACAUCUUGUACAAAUUCAAGUCAAUCAAAUUUAACCCGAAAUCAUCAUGUAACCUACAUGUAAUUAAUUUUCAUGUACAAAAAAGUCAUAUUCUACUUUAUUAGUAAUAAAAAUAAAUAUAGAUUGGAUUAGAUUUCAGCUUUUUUUUUAAGGAAAAAAAUGAAUGUAAUUCAGAUCAUAUUCUACUUUCUUAGGAGCAAAAAUGAAUAUAAAUCGGGUUAUUUGUUUAACCAUAAAUAGGAACUAGCCAUUUUAUUCCUAAAAAAAGGGUCAUGUAUGGAUCACUUAAUGAAUAUAGGGUAAAAAUAAUUGAAUAAUCUAGGUUAUGAUAAAAUUUUAUUUACUUAAUUUUAUAAGGCAUCUAAAAUUAUCAUUUUAAAAAUAAAAAAAUAAAAAAUUUAUUUAACGAAAUACGAGUGAACUUUUAAACGAUUUUUUCAAAAUGUGAAUGAACAUCCGUCACACAUGAUGCACCUCUUGAACUUUUGCACGGAUGUUUUAGUAUAAUUUAAAAUCCUAACUAAAUGCUAGCAAAAACCAUUUACCAAUUGGUGUAUUUCCUGGCAAUUACGACAAGUGUGAUGAUCUUUUUUAAGGUGGGAAAAAAAAUACGUUUACUUGGAAACGGACCGAAAGAGUUGGAUGAAAUGCUAGCCGGAGUAGUAGGGGCAGCGGGAUGACCUAUACGCUAAAUUUGGCGAUAUGCGAACCUCUCAUGGCCAGCUUGAGACGAUUGAUCUGAUCUGAUAGAGAGAAUAGAUGAUAGACAAGACAGGUGGCAGAGGCCCAGAGCCGGAGCCCGGUGUUCAAUGUUAAUCCCGGUCCGGGCCUGCCAGCCUGCCUUGGAAGUUUGCAAUGAUGUUGGACAAGAAAGAAGAAUAUCGCUGCUCGAGUCCAAUCAGAUUGGAUUGCAAUUUAAAAGGGGGCGGUAGGGCUAGCUAGGGCAGGGUAGCUAGCACCUUUAAGUAACGGGUCACAUCCAAGCUCAGUUGGAUCUUCCUGAGAAUCUAAUCUAAUACUGUAUGUUGUUGAAGCCUUGAAAGCCCACCAUAGCCUAGUGAUUAGUGACUGUUGUCUUUGUUUUUAGUUUCUUCCUAACAAAUCAAAUUCUUUUAUGUCAGAUUAAACUCCGAAAUAUAUUAUGAAAAACUUUUCUACCAGCUUGGCUAUAGAAAGUACACAAAUGCGGACCUGAGAAUAAAAACUGGAUCCAUAUCCAAAUUCGAACUAAAAAGACAGGAAAAGAAUCCAAUACUUGUACGGUCACCGGAACAGCAAAUGCCCGAUCACGUAGUGUACAAGUAAAACUAAUCUGAAGUACUGCGAAUUAGCAGUUAGAUGUUUAUUGUUCCCGUUUUCAUGUAAAUCAAAACUUGAAUCCGCUAAAAACCUUCUUGUAUACCAUAUCAUAAAUUGCAAUCCAUCAUAUCAUAUAUGUGUUACAAAAGUGAGAGAGCUUGAAGGGUAACUCGAUUGUCAGAGCGAUUUGCAUACAUUUACACUGAUGUAAAUGCCAGAAGUUACUACUGUCAUGAAAACAGGGAAAAAAAAAAAAAGGGGGUCUAGAUCUAUUGACAAAUUGGACAACUAAAUAAAAGUUUUGCACUUGGGCAUACCAUGCAGGCAAACAAAACUUUUAUUGCACUUGGGCAUACCAUGCAGGCAAACAAGAGAGAGAGAGAGAGAGAGAGGUCGUGCAAGGCGAUACGAUACAGUAGUGAUAAUAUAGUAGCAUCUCAACCUGAAGUUCUCCAUUGCAGUUCAAUCUGAAUACGACCAUUUUUCGAGUCAAUGAGGUGGUAUCUCUCGUUCAUACGCUUAUUGCUGACAACAUCUGCGAGAUAUAUAUCCACAUAACCAAGAAUUUCCUACAAGGAAAAUAAAAAGGUAAAUGGUUAGUUUCUUCUGAUCAGCACACAAAUUGAAUAUUAAUUAGUGUGUUUGGAUAGUAGAUUAUUUGGGAUAGAUUUUUUUUAAAAAAAAAAAAAAAUUACUGCAGCACUUUUCUGAUAUGAUGUAUGCGAGAUAAAAUGGUGAUUAAAAAAUGUGUUGCUAAUGCAAGCAAAUAAAUUUUUGUAAUUUGAAACCAAUUACUUAGGACAUUGAGGAGCAAUUAGUAAACAUUUGGAAUCAACUUAAAAUAGUAGUUGGAAGAAAACUAAUCUGAGCAACAUCCCAAUCUCUAGAUAACAACACAGUACAUUUAGUCUUGAUCAAUAGCUCUUCAGCAUUGCUUUUUCCAUGACUCAUAAUAAGAAAGAACAUAUUUAUGCCCAAUGAUAAUUGCUACCUUGGGAUGAAGCAGACCCAUCCUUGAUGAAGUGCUAACAACUUCCACAUGAAUCCUGUCAUCAGUGGGUGGUUCAUCCAACAUAAAUUGAACUCCUCUUCCCACCUUGGAUCUCUAUUUUCUUCACUGGCUGCAACAACGGAUCCAUCCACAAGUAACAAUCAUUGCAAUUGCAAAAGAAGCUCUUGGUUGCAAAAAGCUUCUAGUUCUUUUCUCUUCAAUGUGCCAACUUUUAUUCUAUCAAUAGUAAUAAUAUAGAUUACAGCUUACCUUGGUUCUUCUCUCCUCGCCCCUAAAAAGCAACCUUACAGAUGGAUUUGUAUGAUGCUUCCUUCCAAAUCUUGAGCUUCAUGGACUAUAACUACGAGCAGCCACCACUCUCAGGAGUUCCUUCUGGAGCCUUUUGUAUUGAAUUUGAGUCUUCAAUGUCAUCCGGCAUCUCAUCGUCCUUGAAUGGUUUGUAGAGCACUUCAAGAACAAGCUGCCCCGUGACUUCUCAUUUUGAGGAUCAUUCGGUUUAGAUUCUUGAGAAGAUCAAGCGUCACAACUUUUGGCUCAUCAGGUGUAAGCUCCUUCAGAGGGACGACAUUUAUUCCCAUCUUGUCAUGGACGCCGACCUAUGUAGGAUAAAUUGGCUGAGAGUUACACAAACACGAGGAGCAAAUUGAACAUAAAGCAAAUCUUAUGUUGUUUAGGCAAUGAGUAGGGCAGCAAAACAAUCUCUCUGCAAGGAGGAAUAAACUUAAAAACACUUUCACAACAAAUUUAAAAUGUGCUCAGUAUCCUCCUGUUGAACAAUACAAAUUACAUCAGUUUAGAAAACCACACAAGUCCUCAUGCAUCCUUUUGAAGCGAAGGUAAUUGGCACGGUUUAUGUAAAACACAGGGCGCUAAACAGUAGAGUAAUUUGCAUUUCUUUGGUGAUACUAAUAUAAUUACUCCUAGAAAAAAUAAACCCCCCAUCAAGCUCAAAAAAAAAAAAAAAAAAAGGUAACUGACGUAAUAUUUAUGAUGCAAUUGUAGGAAAAGACCUGUUCCCAAUCGUAGACAGAAACAUCCAGAACUUGAGAUUGUGGAUCCUUCACAACAAAGUUAAAUUCUUCAUUCCAUUCAGGAUUCAAGUUCUUCUGUUUCACAGUUGUCUUCUUCGCAGGAAGUUUGUCUUCACUAAGUUUUAGCUUCACAUAAGGGUCUGAAGCACCCAAAAGAUCUUUCUUCUUAAGCUUCAUUGCCCUCAACACCUUCACAGCAAGGAUUCCAACCGGUUUCUUCAUUGCUCUGUUAAAUUGGAGAUGUAAUAAGCAUUAUCAGAUGGUAGGACCAUCUGUAGAUGGAUGUUUUUUAAAUAAAAUUCAUCAAAAGAUUAUAGACUUACUUAGCAGGAUCCAGUACUUGUACUUCUAGUGUUUUUGGCCACAGAUACAUAUUUGCAACCUGAUCUUUAAUAAGCUCCUGGAGUAAAAAUAUGACAGAAAUGUCAUGCAAACAGCCUGAGUUACGAGUAAAAUACACGCAACAACCACGCUGCAAUAUUUUGGAAAUAUCUAAAGGUAUAGGUGUAGCAGUGAGUUUAUACAAAAUUCUACACUUUAAAAAAAAAAAGGAUAAAUAUUGGCUUAGCCAUGGCAUAACAAUUGCAAAGGUAAAACACAAACAAUAUUUACAGCUAUGACUGAUAUGUGGAGUUGGAGGAGAAUAAAGCCUCAAAGCAGAAGGAAUGCAACAGAGGAGUUAACAGAGGUUAAAACUAGUUAAGUUCCUAAACAAACUAGUUGUCUCAGCAAUCAAAAUCUGAAGGAAUGAAGAAACAUACACAUGAUGAGGACAGAAAACUCUAUGCUAAUGAGCCCAUCUUCACAAUCACUUAUUAACAGUAACUUUUUAGUGGACAUAUUAGCAUCAGCUGCAUAAGCUUCACUGAAAAGCCAUGCCAUAUAAGCCAUAUCAAAAUUAACAUUGAAACUAGUUCAUUGAGGAGAGUAAGAUAAGAAACAAAAUGCAAAUAGAAAUUAUACCUGAACAAACCUGUACAGACCAGGAAUGGACAUAGCAUCAGCCCCAACAGUUUCAAUCCAAAGUCAACGUGAGGCUGCAAAAUGGGAGGUUGGGGGGGGAUAAGAAGACAACUUUAUGGUCUGAAAAUAAAUAAUUCAGCAUUUCAGAAGAUUAUCAGAAUCUUUUGAAUGAAAGAAAUGACAUUCCUUAGUCACCAUAUGAGUGGCACACAAUUUGACUUCAACAGAGAUAUCUAUUUCUAACUUGCAAAUGGUGCUCAGCUAUACAUAUAGAGCAGUCUGCUUCUUAGGAUAGCUUGUAUUAUUUAUGAACUUCAGAAAGUGCGAUUCACACAGAAGAACAUAGUUCCCAACUCUGGUAAAGAUCAGUAUCCGUUUUCAAAGAUAUAGGCAUAAAAAUCAAGUCACAUAUCUAACACUUGCCUUUACGUGAAAAUAAGUUUCUGCACAGCAAGGGAUUCUGGAACAAAUACUCCAGUUUCAAGGCAAAAGAACAGCAGAAAGAAUUAUCCAUUUUGAAAAUAUUUUAAUGAAGAAAACAAAGUCCAUCCAUUUGACGUUCACCUUUUCCAUCAGAGAAACUAAUAUCUUCGCAAAACAAGGGAAGCUUGGAACAAGUGGCUUCAGUGUGAUACGUGGAGAGGCAAAUACUUGCAAGUCAAGCACCUGAAGUACUCAAAAAAGGAAAAAAAUGUUUACAAUCAAGAGAAAAAGGGGGAAGAAAGCUAAGCAUGUUGCAAGACAGAAAAUAACUAUUAAUCUAAAUAUAGCAAUCUUCACAACAUUAGAACCCAGAGGACUGCUCUUAACAUUUUCUCUAUCCAAAGAAUAGAGAAAUUAGCCAAUACCUGAACGGUUGCUCGCAAUCCAAAUGCCUUGACAACAACAGUUAUGUUAGGAUUACCAGCCCAUUUCAAGGCUGGUUCCAUAAUCAAUUCUUUCUCUUCAGUGGAAUAUACUUUCAUGCCUGCAAGAGAAGCGCCAUAUAUGAAAAAGUUGAUCAUUGUUAAGAAUAAAAAUGGAUUUGGCACCAUAUAUUUUUGGACUUUGGCACAGUAAUUUUCUUGACAAUUCACACCAGCAUAAGCAGCUAAGAGGACAGUUAGAGGGGCAAAAGACUAAGCAAAUCAAUGGAUGAUCCAACAGGAGGUUUAAUGUGAUACAUUACUUUUCUAAUUUCAAUGGAUUACGCACCCGCACAAACUGGUGAACUAUAUAUCCUCACUGUUCAUGAAGGCUAAAGUCCUACAUUACUCAUAUCCAGCAAUCAUAAGAUUUUAACCUCAAACUGCUGAAUAUGGACAGCCAAAUUGUCAUCAAACACGUGGAUCCCAAAAUUAUUCACUGCUCAAAGAAUUCAGCAAUGGACAAUAUUUCUUCAGAAAAUGUCACAAGGAACUAAAAGCUAAGCUUCACAAGUAACAGAAGUCCAAUUUCAAUCAGCAUUAACAAAUUUUCAGCUUUGACUAGAAUCAAGCAAAAAAAUUACUUACAUUGCUGCAACACUCAGAAGAAUAUCACCUGAAUGAGAUGCCAAUAGCUCUAUGGCUUUAAACAUGUCCUCUUAGAUCACCAUACUUAUCUUACUAUGUAUAAAGGGAGAGGAAGGGGUGUAAACUUUUUUUUUGUCACUUUUUGUUUUUCCUUAUUUAUCCUCCCACUAAAUAAUAGAAAUCUCCGAUAACCACAAAUAAUUUUUUUAACAACACAAAAAAAAAAUCACAUUACACCCAACCCAAUCAAAUCUUUUAAUAAAUGCUCAUUAAUUUUUUUUUUUAAAUUUGCACACAUAGGGUGUGCAUUGAACACUAGUAACAAUUAAACUUCAAUUGACAAAGAUAUGCAUCUUUGAAGAAUAUCACUUGAAAGCCAACCAAAACAAGAUAAUACACUACAUGAGUUUGUCCUGCAAGCAGCAGGGAAAAAAGGAGAAGCUCAACCUUGAAAUGUAGGAGGCAGACAGCCCAAAGUCAGUGCUUCAAACUGAACCGAUUCAAUUUUGUACUUUGGUAUCUGUUCGGCUAUGAUGGGCUCCGCUGUUUUCUUUGCAGUCUUGCAAAUAGCCUGAGAAUCUUUGUUGAUCAACACACUCAGGAAUGGAAAAAAAAAAGUAAUACAUCGUCAACAUUCAAGUAAGCACAAACCUUAUCCAAAUAAGGCCACAUAGUUUCAAUAAAUUUGUUGAGCCAAUCAAGCUGAAAAAAAUGAGUUAAAUAAGAUGAGUAUUUUGUUCAUGCUUUACACGGCAAGAACCCAAAAUUAUGAUAUCUGGAGCAGUGCCUACACGAUCAUAAUCUGGAUUUUUUACCCAAAGGGGUAUUUCUGGUAGCAUCUUCUGGAGAUUUUGAGUUUCUUGCUCAACCAAGGGCCGGAUAUCAGGAUCCUGAAGAACAUACAAUCCAAAUUGAAUAAUUGUACACUCAUUUAAUCUUUGCUUAAAUCAGAAAACAAGAGAAACUCAUUCACAUGAUCAUCUCAUUACAUUGCCUGCUUUAACUUGCAAAAUAUUGAGUAUCUCUACUUAAUUUUCAGAAACCUAUUAUGCAGUUUCUAAGAGAAAGUGGCUUUUCCCAAACUCAAAUGUUAAUUCAAUUUCGUUAGAGGAAACUUCUAUUGGAGUGAACAAGUACAAAUCAAGGUAGGAAAUACAAGCAAAAAAUGUCAAAGGGCUUUCCCCACACUAAUGACUACACCCAAAAAAGAGGGAAAAAAAAGGGAAUGCAGCUUAAAUUUCAGGCAGCUAUAGUACACCAAAGGAGUGGUCGUUAAACGUGAAUGUUAACAAGAAAUCAAGAAAACAGAACCAAUGAAUCCUUUAUAUUCCCACUCUGCCCCAGCAUGACACUUUUUGAAUUUCCUUCGUAAGUAUAGAAGAUAGAAAAGCAAGGAUAAGUACGUUCUUCCUCAUAAACUUAAGAAGAAACUCAGUUCAUUUGCAGCGAAGUGGGAAUAACUACCAUACAACUUCAUUUACCAUUUAGAACUCAUACUACAGAAUUUGCAUACGAAAUAAGGUAAAAGGAUACGUAUUAAAUAUCAAAGUAGGCACGAAAAUACAGAACAUCAACAGAUAAAAAAUAAUAAUCAUAACAACUGACCUUGACAUCAGUUGGUUGGACGUAGAUGAAGAGAAAAUAUCCGAUCACAAGCCCAAUGGUGAUUCCGAUUCCAAACCCAAAAACACCCAUAAUUGUACUGAUUAUAGCCAUUUCUAAAACCUUGCUUUUAAAUCACCUCAAAUUGCCACCACAAUAAUCCUCACAAGGGAACAAAAGGGUCAGCCAGAAAGCCUAAAUGUUCAUCAUUAGCACUCCGGUUUUACAGAAGGUGAAACCUUUCUACGACCCAAUUCCAAGAAUUGCAUGACAAACAAACUUUUGGGCUGCUGGGAUCAACUUUGAAAAUACUGGAAAGGAAAAACCAAAACUUUAGCAGAAAGUUAACCAACAAAAGAGGAGGCAAGAGCCUUUGGCUAUGAUAGGCGUUACACUUACAUUAUGCGGAAGAUCUUUAGCAAGGAAAUAUUCAGUAUCUGGAAAAGACAUAAAUGCGGAUGUCCCAUCUAUAAUCUAUGCCUCAACUACCCAUUUGAUCCACACAUAACGGCUCUGCUAGAGAACAAUUCAAGUGCACGUGCCAGUCGUACUUGUCGGUAAAGCUUCCGCUGCCUUAAUUGCUUCUGCAUGAGGGUAUUUUGGUCUAAUGAUUCGGAAAUAUCUUGUAAUCACUGCUUAAUUUGGGUAAGACUUGAGAGGGGCCCCUGAGGUACGUGUAUCUACAAACGAGGAUAACGUGACUGGUGUGUUUUACUUUGAUAUUUCUCGUUCAAAAUUCUUUUAUUGGGUAAUGAUUAAUCACAAAAGAUAUGAGCAAAUUUGAAUUGAUGUUAGUAGCUACCGGCCUGCCACUUUCUUGAUUGAACUUCUUCCCAAUACUAUUGGAGAUAAUAAAAUGUUAGACACGGAAGUUUGAAGUCCUCGGCUGACUUGGCAAUUUGUCGAAGUACAGCGAUGCCCUCUUUCUUUCUUGUCAAUCCAAAACUAGGAUCCAUAUAUAUGCUCUGAUUGAAAAACAUUUUAGGGCAUAAAUUAUAAUGGGACGACAGUAAAGAAUUCAAUGCUGAAUAAUUAAUUGUAUUCUUACAACAUUCAUCAAAACUUUCCAUAGAAUAAGUAACCGUGCGUGUUAAAUUCAGUAGUUAUAAUUUUUUUCCCUAAAUAAUAAACUUAAGUUAUGGAUUUUGGAUGAAGGAGUGGAUCAAUUAGGCCAAUCUCUCAUGUACAAGUAUGCCCUUUAGAGUACACGUUAUAUGUGUUAACAGUGUAAAUACUAUCAACGUUAGAUCUAUGACAUACGUGUACAAAAAAUUGAAUUUCAAAUUUAAAUUUUACAUAAUUAUCAUUCAUCCAAAACUAAUAGCAUCAUAUAAUACACUGUCAGUGCAGGAAAAAUUAAUCCAUAUUUUUAUAUUGCAAUUAAAUUUCGCUAACUCUAAUCCAUAUUUUUAUUAGUCUAAAUUUCUCGAGUAACACCACACAGAACAACGAGUUGAAUUGGCGUAUGAAACUAAUAACGAAAUGGUGGUUGGUUACGUGAGUUGUUUGAAUAGUUGCAGUGGCUGCUAUAUGUUUACUUCAUCAACCAAAUCGCAUUUUUUGUCCAAUCUCUUUGUCCGCAGAAAUAGGAUAAUAAGAAAAAUAUUGAUGAGCAUAGUGAUUAGUGAAUCCAGCAAAGUCAAGUCAUGAAUUGCAUAAUUUUCGCUCAUAAUUCAUUUUGGAUUCAACAAAAAACGCCAAAAUGUUUAGUACUGUAGGCGGGGUCAGCGUGCCCAAGAAACUGAUAGAGGGAUUUCUUUCUAGUUGCGUGGUCAUACUCAAGGCUCCGUUUGGCAAAUGAGAUUUUUAGUGUUUGUCUAAAAUUUUACUGUAGUUUACUGUAGAAGUUUUUAAAAUUUUUUUGAAGUGUGUAAAUUUUUAAUAUUUUGAAGUGUAUAACUUAAAAACUUUGAGAAGUUUUUUGAGAUUACUGUAGUUAAAGUUUUAAAAAACUUGUAGCAGACAAAUUUGGUAAAAAACUCGAGUGCCAAACAGGGCUUCGAGUGAGAACCCCGCAGUUGCAUGAAAGCAACUGAUUUUAGCUGUUGCUUCUUAUAUCUCGUUAUUAUAAAUUUCCAAAUGAUCACUUGCAAUUCUGACGCAAAAAUUCAUUUUUUCCAUAAUCAAGAGACGAAUAACGAGGUUAGCGUAGGUUUCAUCAAUGAAACUAUAUUAUGUUUUUAUUAAAAACCAAAAAAAAAAAGAAGAAGAAGAUAAUGAGGGCCUGGAUUUAGGAUGUGGGCAGUACAAUUUUGAAUUGCGGAAGAAAGGGCAAAUCACAAUCACCACUUAGAAGCAUCUCCACAGGGCCCAGAUGCGAAACCAAGCAGACCGCGAUCUCAUGCAUGUGUGGGCGUGACCUUCUCAUCUUGGGUUUCAUACAAGCGAACAGCAGUGUUGGGCUUCUAUAAGAUUAAAAAAUGGGAAAGGAUACUCUUUUCCAUUUUUAUUUUUGCCAUCAAAGAGGAGGUGAAGGUACAGCAGAACUCAGCCAUUUUGCUAGGAAAAGUUGUACUGAUUGUUGGUGACCACUGGUGGUACUCUUUUUGAUAACACAUAUUUUUUGGGAUCACUUCUACAUUUUUAAAGAAUGAAUGUAUUACUAUUCGCCAAUUACCAUUUUCCAUUUUCUAGCUGAUUUUCAACCUAAUAUAUGUUGAUUUGUCUUAUUCUUUCAUAAUGCAAAUUAACAUGUUUAUUAUUAUUUGACAGAGCAGAUUAAAAUUCAUAAAGAUCAGUACAUAUGUGCAAUUUAUUUUUCAAUUUGAACUAUUAGCUAAAAACAAAAGAUAAUUGCAAUUCUAAUCCCUUUUCCCUAAAUUAUUCUUAGUCAAAAAAAAUCUAAGAUAAUCUGAUUAUGGUCGUAAAAUAAUCUAACGAAUCCUAACGUUGAUGUCAAAAAUUGUCUCAAUCACUUUUAGUGAAAGAUAGCAUGUGUCUUGCUCCAAUAUGGCCUAUAACAGGAGGCGGACUUUAUUCUGUGGAGAAACUUAACUGUUAGUUACUAAUGAUUUUUAGAGCGAUGAAUAAAAUCAGGAGGAGACAAACUCAAAUGUUCUAUGACUUUGUGUAAUUAAUUAUGAUUAUAUGAUUGAGUCCAAACUAUAUUAACCUCGUUAUAAAAGAAACUAAAGUGAGCCUUAACGGGCCCUUUGUUGUGAAUUUUGGACGAGGCUGAAAUCUAAAUAUUUUCCUGAGUUGAGGCCAAUAAAAUUGAGACGAGGGAGAGAGAGAGGUGUCGGAGCAGUGAGAGGAGGGAGAAAGAGGAGAAGGGAUGGCAGAAGUGGUGGUGAUAGGUGUUAGUGGUGAACGGUGGAUGGUGAAUGGUGGAGAAGGGUUGAGAGGAGAGAGCAAGGGAAGUGAGUGUCGUGAAAAAUUGGUAUUUUUUGAUGAACACUAAUAAUUUUUGAAAACAACUACACUAAAAUUUUAGGCAAAUAUUUAAAAAAAAAAACACAUUGUGUAUUUUGACAAACGCUAAUAAUUUUUUAAAAUGACUACACUAAAUAUUUAGACAAACAACCAAAAAAACACAUACCAUAAGCUGAUUUUUUUUUUUGUUUCUACAGCCGAUUAAUUGCUUCCAGAGGAAGAAAUUUUUUAAUUUAUUAUAUAAGUGAACAAUUUCGAACCCAAAUCUCUCACUUACACGCCAUUCUCUCGUCCUACGUACUCAAUGCAUCCGCCCCGUUUUAGAGGAAGAAAUUGAAUAAACAAUUACCAAUAUCAUGUUGCCACUUGCCACACGGUUUGAGCUUUUCUUUCUUCUACUAAUUUAUAUAAAAUAAUUUUCAUUUCCUUGAUAUGAUAUGAAGGGUGCCCUACUAGCCCACCACAAAUCAGCAGUUCCAUGUGACCGUGAUCAAUAAAUGCAUCAUAUGUUAAGGAAGCCAAUCAUUCGAGAUUGCACCCUAACAAUUAUUAUGAAGCAUCGAAAUAUCUUUGGUCGAGAUGCUAGAGACGUGUUAAACUACUCUUACUACUUUAUUGGAAAAUUAUUUGGUCGAAAAAAUGACUUUAAGCCUUUAUUAUGGCCAAUCUCUACCACUGAUGCUCCAUCUCCAACCAACAAUGAUAUACAUAGAAUAUAGCACCACAUUUAAAGGGGCGCUGGAUUUAAUCAAAUUGGUCGGUGGCCAAACGUAGUUAUUACCAAACUGACAUCACCUUUUCAUAUUUUACUUUUACACGGCGGAUCACUCCUUUGGAAAAUUUUCAGAUAUACUUUGAAAAGUAACCUUGUUUGGAUUGCGAUUUUUCGUCGAAAAAUUACGUCGUUUUCCGUGAUCACAUUUCCCUAUCACCUUUUUCCCUCACAUAUAUCAAAUCGCUACAGUAAUUUUUUCAUGAAAAAUGACGAAAAAUGCAAUCCAAACACAUAAAAUUGCUCUUGAACAUGCUUCUAUAUAUGCACUUGAAAUAAAUAAAAGGGCACGAUUUUACGCGUCAUGGAAUACUCAAUUAUGAUCCCACAAAAUCGUUACAAAUUUUAUCAACAUCAGAACACAAAAAUAGUAUACCACAAUUUUAUACGCAAACUUUCCUGUUUCAAGCUAUAUAUAUAUAUAUAUGUAUAUAUAUGUCCUUCACAUACUUAAGUAUCAUUUUGUGAAAUACUAGUAUUCAUUAUUUAACUAAUUAAUAAAUGGAGUGAAAAUGCUAAACUCUAAUUUCUUUUUCCAUGGAAAAACAUAUAUGGGAAUUUCAUUAUAUUAUUGACUACAUUAUCAAAAGGAUUAGGAUUUAGCUUGUCAAUCAAACUACUUGCUAAUAACAUAUAUAAUACAUAUUAUAUAAGUUACUAGAUGCUUUUGCAUUGUGUUGUUGUCCCACAUUAUAAAGGUAGUUGUUUUGAAAUUUCAACCAACUUCAUCUAUGACUAAAAUGUUUUGGAUAGCAGGUUUUUUCAAAUAAUAUUUCACUUGCAUCAUAAACACAUUUCCCAAUCUACCUUUUCAUAUUCCCAAUCACCUUUUUAUCUCGCAUAUAUCACAUCAUAAAAGUGUUACAGUAAUUAUUUCAAAUAAUACCUCUAUCCAAACAAACCUAGCCUUACAUUACUUGAUAGUAGAUGCAGUUGCACCUUCUUACCCUAGGUCUUAGCUCCGCCACUAAGUUACUCUUAUAUGGUCAUAAUCACGUUGCAAUGUUAAUGAUCUAUCAGCUUUGAACUAUAUAUAAUGACUGAAUAUUUAGUUCAUAACAACUGUUUCUCCGUGUUUUGAUUUAUAUGACCGCUACAAAAGCUGCCAUAGAUGUUUAAACUUACACUUCGAGUUGGUGGUGGACUGUGGCGUACAUGAUAAGAAUUUUGUCCACCUUCAACCACGAAAUAUGAAUAUAUAAUAGUGAUGGUAUAUAAUCUCUGAGCGUCGACAAAUUGCGCAAACCCAACCAUCCAUAGUUUAAAAUUACUUUCUCCCCGGCAUUCAACACAGAAAAAGGCACAGAAGCACGUGGGGAGUGCAGAGAAGAAAGGGGUGGGUAGUUCUCUUUGAUGACGGGCUAUCUAUAUAUAUAUAUAUUACUCCAACAAACGUGCAUAAAAUUAGGGUUUCUGUGAUAAAAGAUAGAAUAAGCAUGGUUGGCCUUUCGAAUCCAAGCAAUCGUCAAUCAUGCAAAUCCCGGCUGCCAACCAAAUUUAAGAGUCGGCUGCUGUCUAGAAAUUGUGCGCGACUCGUUACGUUAGUACUCUUCCUAGUAUUAUUUAUUUUUUGAGGUCAAAAAUCACUCUUCCAGUAAAUGUACGUAGUAUCAUGAUGGGGGAAACGUCUCUCCAUCCAUCCAUCUAUCUCUACAGCGAUAUCUGUUAUAUAUAUCAUCUUCCCUGCAAAAUGUAUGGACACGAAUUAAUUUUGCUUGGAUUUUUCCAAGCUGCUCGUGCGCUUCGAUCGUGACUAGCUUCAGAUCGACUUAAGAUGAAGGGUGUCAAAAAAUAAAUACAUUUAAAAAAAAAAAGAAAAUCCAAAAAGCAAGGACUAACAGAUACCUAGUAGUGGCAUAGCUUCAAGGAUUUGGUAAAGCUGGUGCACAUAUCCAACAUGAUGAGUGGCGAUCGAAAUUAUAUACUAUUGAUCAAGUGUUGACACAUCGUUUUGAGUGGAUUCAUAGCAUUGCUAUUAGUAGUAUUGUUAAUGUCGAGGUUUUAAAUCAGUCUUGAUUUUGCACCGUAAUUGCAAUAAAAGAAUACUUGUUCCUGAAGUGCGCAAUUAGUGACCAAAUUCCAAUGUCAAAGAGGACGUAGAAAAUUGAUGGUAUGAAUAUUAUUGCCAUGCCGUAGGCUGGUGGGCAAGAAAACAUACUUUCGGUGGUAAUCCAUACAUCCUCCUGAUCCUCUAUUGUAUAUUUCAAGGAAGAGGAUAUGCAAUUCCCCAUCAAAUCUAGAGAGACUUGAUUAUGUGGUCCUAUUAAUUACUAGUUGGUAGCAACCUAUUUCGACCAUUAACUCAUCUGUGAUUUCUCAUUCUUACCGUUUCUGAUUUCGCCUUUGAAACGUAAAAUUCUUUAGGGUACAAUUUUUUGGCUUAAAAUCUUCUUUUGAUCUUAUCCGCUAUUUCUUUUUAACGUCCUAAUUCGCAUAAAAAACUACAAAAAAUUAAAGAAUAUCUAUCUGUAAUUAUAUAUACAUACUGAUUAACCCCCAAAUUUAAUGUUACACUGAAUUAUUCCCUCCACCCCACCAAAUAUAAAGAAGAUCUGUUAUGGCGUUAAUAUGAAAAAUGGAAGGCUGCAAAUAGUCCUCUCACUCUGGCCUUCUAUAGCGAUCGAGUGGUCUACCCGUUGCCCUCAACGCCAAGGCAGCAAGAAAGGCACUUCGAUCGGCUUUCUUGUUCAGUCGAAGGAACCCUAACAACUACGACCUUUCACUUUUUAAAAAAAAAAAAAAUUUUUAUGUGACAGUAGUAUUUAGUUUUUAGAACUCUUUUCCAGGUAAAGCUAAAGACUAUCGCAAAAUGUCACAGAAAUACAAAAGUUUGCAACUAUUAUUAGAAGAAACAGGUAAAAAUAGAGUACUUUCAUUACAUGCAUGCUCAGCGGAGUUAAAUUAUUGCGCAUGCAACAGCAGUAUGAAAAUUUCAACCCAUCAUUUUGGACUACGCUAUAGGGUGUAGAAGAUGUUCUCUCGUACUGUUUAAAACAUGUAUCCCACUACUGAAGUUGGAACUGUAAUCUUCCAGUGUCAAAGAGAUAUUCGCUAAGGGUAUAGAUGACACACGUAACGUUAACAUUGAAAAUAAGAUUACAUUCGCUGCCAAUGGUUUCUGAAGUGUGCAUAUGCAAAAAAUACAAAGAUGGAAAAGCAGACAGUUUUCUUACUUGAUUAAUUCAAAGUUGUUCAACUCUGUACUGUAGAACUUCUGGCUAGUUUUUCUCUUACCUCUGGCUCUGGUUCAGCAUUUAAAACAACAAAACAAGGAAAAAGUUGUCAUUGCUAUCAAAAUAUGAUAUAUGUUUACUCCCUAAAACUUAAAUUGAUGUCUUUGUUUUUCUUAAUUAAGCUAAAGAUGUACAAAAAGAUGGAGUAAUAGUUUAUCUUUGAGGGGAGUACAAAUGUUAUACUACUCGUUAAAGAAGCCGACUGAACAUACAUCGCUAUGUCCAUCACGAGGAUGGGUAAGUUUUUAAAACUUCAAUUAAAAAGUACAUGGGAAGUCCUCCUUUCUCUUUCUUUUUCUUUCUGGUAGGUAAACUAUUUCAGAACAUGGGAUAAGGUGAAAAUAUUCAACUGGGGACAAAUUAAGAGUGCAUAUAUAGCUGCCUUUAGACGUAAACAAUAUGGAUGAGAAAAAAUCAAACUUUGUUUGCUUUACUAUGGAUUCUUGCCUUAAAGGUCAUGAGUGGCUGGUAAGCUCCAUUAAUAAUCUCAACCGAUAAUAUAUACUUGUUUAGUUUUCCCUAAUUACUAAAUAGCGUAGGACAAUAGUUCAUGUAAAUUAGAAAAGUCAUUUGUUUAGACUGCAUACUCAGGUUCAAGAUGAUUGAUUAUUCAAGAUGAUGAAGGCUCUUGGGUGAAGUUAUUGAAUCAGAAGCUCACCCUACUUUGAAACAGAUGACCCCAAAAGAAUAGUAGAAAAUCUUAAAUUUUUAUAUUUUCUCCUUCUUCUUCUUCUUUUUUUUUUGGUAAGAUUUGGAGUUCUCCUAAGACAAAAAAGGAAAAAAAUUCAAUUGUCUUUUUACCACUGUCGAAUUUAUAUAAUCCAAAUGAAUUAGCCCAAUUCAUUAUCAAGUUUAAUAUAUAGCAAUAUGUAAUAGCCAACUGCCUCUUGCUCUUGGACUGUUGGUUCGACCUUUAUCUCCCACUUUAUUACUUAAUUGUGACUUAUUUCGAUGAAAAAAUUCCGUCGACUUCCUCUUUCCUUUAUAUUAAAUUAGAGUAGAUUAUAUAAAUGUUAUCGUUGUGAAAAAAAAAAAUCAAUAUGUAACAUGGUCUAUUGACCAACUCCCAACAGAAUGUAUAUACAUCUGAAAUAGUUCUUAGGCACAUUUUUCAUCAAUGCCGGAUUCCGUGCAAUUUUCAACAAAGAUGAGAUAGGAAAAUAUUAAAGAAAAGAAGAAAAAUAAAAAUAAAAACCCUGCAGGUGAGGUCAUGCGGACUACGCAAGUGAAUAUACACGUGUAUGGCAGGGAUUACCGGGAGACACAGGAAACAUCAACGGUCAUAAUCACCUCAACGGCUAAAUCUUAAAAAAAAGAAUCCGACGGUCCCCAUCAAAUUGGCGGUUGCCGCCCUACAGGCUACAGUAUCCUACUAAGAACCGGGUUACGGUAGUAAGUAUCGUGGCGGUCAUUGGUCUUUUUGCUCAGCCUAUAUUCAUCCAUGGCCGGCAAGACUGCUGCUGUUGUCGACAUGUUAGGAUGAAAUUACUUUCCUAUAUUCAAUAAAAAAGUUACCCAAGUAAAUUUAAAAGAAAUUGUAGAACUGAGAGAGAGAGAGAGAGAGAGAGAGAGAGAAAUGAAACUAUCAUAUGAUGGGGUAGCCGUUGAAAGCUUGUUCUAUAUAACGAGGGCUUGCCUUAAAGAACUGAUUCAUGACUUGCUUUUUCUCUGAAAUCCCAGCUAGACCCCUUCUGGGUUCUGUAGAUCUCUCUUCUUUAGUCCUUACAGAUAUUUUAUCUUCCACAUACAAGACCAAGAAAGAAAUUCUUGGUUUUUUCUUUGUUAUUGAAUCGUUAGUGCCAUGGUAAAGAUCAAGUUUUGGGCACUGAAGAAGUCUGUCAGCUACUUUUUCAAGAGAAUUUUAAGCUAGUUAGAUAUAUAUAUAUAUGCUCCAGAUUAUACAUAAACGAAAGUAUCUGUACAUUCUUGUAAUCCUUUUGCAUUUGCAUACACCGUUAUUAACUGUUUGUCCUCUUGUUGUGAAAAUUAGCUCUAGAUUAACUUUUUUUAUCUAUAGAUUUUAGGGCUAUUGAUCCGUGUUUAUUUGAGAUCAUCCCUCAAUAUCUUCUUCAGCUUUAGAUUCGUGCUCUUCUUAAGAAGCUCUCCCUGAAUCUUUGCUAAUCAUCUUCCAUGGAGGCAAUACUGUUGCAUUCAUCACCAGAUCAUCAACAACUUUCACCGUACAAAUCCCACAUCAAAGAUACUACCCCAAAAGAGGCACCAAUCGUCCUCCUUUCAUUUCAAGACCAAUCUCUGAGAACUUCGCUCCGAUAAUGAACCUGCAAGAUACUGGUCUUUUCCAGCAUCCUCCGCCAUUUCACCAUCACCUUUCCUACUCCUACCCUCCAUUUUCAUUCCAACGACGACAACCACCCCUUCUCCCUCUCCCCAUCUCCGCUACUACCAAACCAAAUAACACUACAAAUACUACUACCCAAGCCCCUCUAGCCAGAGGCCUCUCUUGCCCACCAACCACCAGAAAGGCCAAUAAUAAGAAUGUCAGAACUCGAGACUCAUCUCUAACCCCCAAGAAAUCCAAAACCAUUCACAAAAAGGAACAGAAUUUGAAACCAUUGGACCAGACCCCAGAAUCUUCCCAAAAGUGUUCCAAAGAUUUUGACUUCAUUAUCCGGUGAUAUUACCGCUAUUAGUGUUAGUAGUACUAAUGAGUUUAGCUCUUUUGAUGCCUUGAAAGAUCAGGUCGACGAGUUCUCCGGAUCUGUGGCGUUCAGUGCGAUCUCUCCUCCACCAAGCAGCUUGCCUUUGCCCACUUUUUCAUUGAGGCCUAAGCUCAGCUGCAACGCCGAGGCUGCAGGAAUAGAUGCCGGAGCAACAGACAAUCUUCGGCGACUUCUUCGACUUCCUUAGUCCAUAACCGUAGCCUUAAGAGUCAAAUAGACUACUGAGGCGGUUAUUCGGUGUUCGGAUACAAAAAAAAAAAGGUUGUAGAAAAGCUGCAUGCUCUCUUUGUUGGAUUGGACCCAGAGUUUCUUUUGCUCUCCUCCUCUACCAUGUCUCCCUUUCUUUUCUUCUUGUUUACUUUUUCUCCCCCUACAUAUGGUUUGUAAUUUUGUGAUCACCGCCUGUAUUUUUUGAGAUGGGGUGCACAAGCAAGCAAGACGCAAGGCCAUAAAUUAGGAGUUCAUCAGGGUUGGUUGGUUGGUUUGUAUUUCCUUUUGAUUUUGUUGGAAAGUUUAUGAAUAAUACAACCAUAAUGCAAGCUUACGUCCUAUUUGUUCGCUUUAUUAUGUGAAGUGGCUUAGGUUUGUGGUAGUUCAGUUUAUUGUGUUUCACCUUUUCUGUUGGUUGCAAUGGAAAACAUGGUGGAAAUGGUUGAACUCAUAGGUUGCUGCAUUUGCUGCUGCUACUUACGUGAGAAACCACAAGUUGGAGAAAUGCUAGAAAGAAGCUGUGAAAACCAAAGCUGAAACCAAACUAAGCAAUUUGUUCUGUCAAAAAAAAAAAAAACUAAGAUAAUUUGCCGAAUGGAGCAAGGCUUAAUCUGUUUAUAACAAAUAAUCCACUUCAAGUAAUCAAAUCCGAAAACCAAAAACCAAUCUAAGGCAAUUUGCUGAAUCAAGCAAGGCUUAGUUUGGUUUUAGCGAAUAAUCCAUAUAUAUUAUAAUGGAGUAAAUGAAUUUCGAAUUUAAAUCCUCAAAAAAAAAAAAAGGAAUUUGGGCUGGCAGAAGAAUUGUCCAUUUUGGGGCAUUCUGGCCAACAACAAUGAGUACCUAGAUCUGAAAAAGUCUGACGCUGACGGCUGGGACCAGCUGGUGCAAGACUGCAAGGACGAUGUCGGGUUGACUCAAAGCAAUCGAAUUUUAUUAUGGUCUAAACUUGAAACUUCCAGCGGGUGGAAACACUAGCACAAAAAUCAACGCAAGUUUUGUUCGUUAGAUGUUCCCCACCCCCCAAAAAGGAAAAAAAAAAAAAAAAAAUCCUUUUUUUUGGCAAAUGUGGAGACAACAACGGGUCCCCUAGACAAUUGAGCCCUUCAAACACUUUGAGGCGCUAUCCCCGACACAAUAAACUAAGGGCCAAUUACAUUUUUUAAAUUCUGUUUCUCAAUUCGCAAAACUAUUUCCCAUAUUUCAACAAAAAAAAACUAUUUUAGUAAUGUUUAUGAACUAUAACAAUGAAUUUUACAGACAAAAACCUUAAAAGUUCCAAUAAUCUUUCACUCACUAUGAACUCUCUCACUUGCUCCUCCGAUCGUGUUGUCUUGGCACUCUUGAGCAGUUGCAGAAACAGUAAACUAUAUCAUCGUGUCAUGGCAACCAAUACAUACUUUUUAACUGUUCGUAGAUUUUGGCAAAUAGAAAAGUAAGAAAGAGAUUAAGUAUUGUAUGAUACAUUAGAAACUCCACUUGGUGUGAAUCAUACUUAAAAAGUGUCAUUGGCAUGUCAAAAAGAAGUAAGCCUGUAAAGAAUCACAAAGGUGGAAAGAUAACGCCGAGACCAUUCAACUUGAGAUGCCAAAAACAAACUCAAAUUCAAACCCUUUGUUCAACGCCCUAAAUCCAUUUUUCUCCUGAUUAACAAUGGCAGGCACUUCCGCUAUCCUAAUUGGGCAGAGGAAGCCCUAGAUUAGCUCGAAUCCAUCUCAACUCUCAUAUUCCUAUCUAACAACUUCUUCAACUCACCUUCCUCCAAAAGAAAAAGCUAGAAUAUCACCAUUACAACAACAAAUAACACCCAGGAUCGGUGCAGCCUUAAGGAAACAAUAGGUGACACCAGCUCGAAGGACAUGCAGUUCUAGAGUUCCUGACCAAUCUGUUGCAGAUAAGACAUGGUGGUUGAUGGAUAAAGGAACUUAGCUUGAUCCUUACCCUUUUGCAACCGCCCAAUCUUAAGUACCCAAUCUACUGUUCAAGAAAGAACAUGGAAAAAUAUUAAAAGAUACCCCAGUUCCAACAUGUUGAAGUCAUCGUCAUGUCAUGAAUUCUCUGUCUGUCUGCUUGCACAAACAGGGCAUGUAUAAAAUAUAGUCUGCCUUCAUCAGCAGAUCUGAUCUGU
rnacentral:lncRNA from 1 species